GUGCUCACUUUGGCAGCACAUAUACUAAAAUUGGAACGAUACAGAGAAGAUUAGCAUGCUGCUGCACA
ensembl:snRNA U6 U6 spliceosomal RNA